rnacentral:rRNA from 1 species
AAUGGGCGCAAGCCUGAUCCAGCCAUGCCGCGUGAGUGAUGAAGGCCCUAGGGUCGUAAAGCUCUUUCGCCUGUGAAGAUAAUGACGGUAGCAGGUAAAGAAACCCCGGCUAACUCCGUGCCAGCAGCCGCGGUAAUACGGAGGGGGUUAGCGUUGUUCGGAAUUACUGGGCGUAAAGCGCGCGUAGGCGGACUAUUAAGUCAGAGGUGAAAUCCCGGGGCUCAACCCCGGAACUGCCUUUGAUACUGGUAGUCUUGAGUUCGAGAGAGGUAAGUGGAAUUCCGAGUGUAGAGGUGAAAUUCGUAGAUAUUCGGAGGAACACCAGUGGCGAAGGCGGCUUACUGGCUCGAUACUGACGCUGAGGUGCGAAAGUGUGGGGAGCAAACAGGAUU